rnacentral:rRNA from 1 species
GACGAACGCUGGCGGCGUGCUUAACACAUGCAAGUCGAACGGAAAGGCCCUGCUUUUGUGGGGUGCUCGAGUGGCGAACGGGUGAGUAACACGUGAGUAACCUGCCCCUGACUUUGGGAUAACUUCAGGAAACUGGGGCGAAUACCGGAUAGGAGCUCCUGCUGCAUGGUGGGGGUUGGAAAGUUUCGGCGGUUGGGGAUGGACUCGCGGCUUAUCAGCUUGUUGGUGGGGUAGUGGCUUACCAAGGCUUUGACGGGUAGCCGGCCUGAGAGGGUGACCGGCCACCUUGGGCCUGCGAUACGGCCCAGACUCCUACGGUAGGCAGCAGUGGGGAAUAUUGCACAAUGGGCGGAAGCCUGAUGCAGCAACGCCGCGUGCGGGAUGCCGGCCUUCGGGUUGUAAACCGCUUUCGCCUGUGCCGAAGCGUGAGUGACGGUAAUGGGUAAAGAAGCACCGGCUAACUACGUG